UGAUUCCCCUAGUAACGGCGAGUGAAGAGGGAAAAGCUCAAAGUUGGAACCUGGCUGUCUUAGAUGGUCCGGAUUGUAAACUAAAGAGCGUGAAUCCAGGCAAGCCGGUUGACAAAGUCCUUUGGAAUGAGGCGCCACUGAGGGUGAGAGCCCCGUAAGUCGACUGAGCAUUUGUCUUUUGUGUUUCGCGUUCAAAGAGUCAGGUUGUUUGGGAAUGCAGCCUAAAGCUGGUGGUAAAUCCCACCUAAAGCUAAAUACAGGCGAGAGACCGAUAGCGAACAAGUACCGUGAGGGAAAGAUGAAAAGUACUUUGAAAAGAGAGUUAAACAGUAUGUGAAAUUGCCAAGAGGGAAGCAUUUGGAGUUAGACUGACUUGAAGUCAAUCAACUUGGUCUUUGGACUGGGUGUACUUGGCUUUUAUGUCUGCCAACAGCAGUUAGUUCUGGUGGAAAAAACUAGAGGGAAGGUAGUCCUUCGGGAUGUUUAUAGACCUUUAGAAAAUACACUGGGACUGACUGAGGAAUGCAGUAGAUGCUAUUAGGCUUCGUCUUGUGGGUGUUGGGUAAAGGUACUAGGUGUUUUCAGCUUGCUGAUGCGCAUUGUGCCCGAGUCCAUCCACUCACAAGUACUGUAAUC
rnacentral:rRNA from 1 species